AAUAAUAUGUGUUUCACCAUAGCCUACUCUAUAUAGGAAGCCGAAAGGAUUGGCCUUUUUUUGGAAGCCAAUUUGGGUUCCCUUCCUCUUAUUUGGCUCCGCCCUAAGUGGACCCACGGGAGCCAAUUUAUCGUCUAGUGGCGAUAUUUGAAAACACGGAUUUGUUUACGUUUCUAUCGAUAUGAUUGUUAAAUGGCUACGAAGGGCCAUUCACUAAACAAUAAUGUCCACCGUUCCAAUGUAACAUUGUCAUGAAAUCCCUCACGGCAACAUAUUAAUGGUGCGUUCAUAAAUUACAGGGUAAUCCCCCCAAACCAUAACAUUCGAAAUUUCGGAGGGCGUGUCAUUAUUUCGCUCACCAGAUGGCCCCCCUGGGUCCACUUGGAAGAUGCGAAAUCGGAGGAAAGGUGAGCAAAGUAGGCUUCACUUUUCCAACACGCGAGAGAUAUCCUUCCUUUCGGCUUCCUAUAUAGAGUAGG